AUAUGUGGUUUGGUGGUAUGUAUAUUAAAAUUGGAACAAUACAAAGAUUAUGAAGGCCUCUGCAGAAAGGUGACAAUGAAAUUCAUGAGAUGUUCAUAUUUUAG
ensembl:snRNA U6 U6 spliceosomal RNA